AUACGUAGGGUGCGAGCGUUGUCCGGAAUUACUGGGCGUAAAGAGCUCGUAGGUGGUUUGUCGCGUCGUCUGUGAAAUUCCGGGGCUUAACUCCGGGCGUGCAGGCGAUACGGGCAUAACUUGAGUACUGUAGGGGAGACUGGAAUUCCUGGUGUAGCGGUGAAAUGCGCAGAUAUCAGGAGGAACACCGGUGGCGAAGGCGGGUCUCUGGGCAGUAACGGACGCUGAGGAGCGAAAGCAUGGGUAGCGAACAGGAUUAGUUACCCUGGUAGUCCAUGCCGUAAACGGUGGGCGCUAGGUGUAGGGGUCUUCCACGACUUCUGUGCCGUAGCUAACCCAUUAAGCGCCCCGCCUGGGGAGUACGGCCGCAAGGCUAAAACUCAAAUGAAUUGACGGGG
rnacentral:rRNA from 1 species